rnacentral:sRNA from 1 species
CCCUAGCCCGGAUUGCAGUGGAAAGCCCGGAACUAAAAAAACUAAUUUUUCUUAGCGAAAAAGAGCGACCAAAGGGAGCUCCUUUUUGGUUUAGAAAAAUAGUUUUUUUGUGAGGACUUGGAACGAAAAGCCGGAAUAGCU